CCUAUGAAUACUAAAAUCCAUGAAUGUUCAAGUCACAUUAUAUAAAAUAGUGAACAAACUCAAACCUGUGCUGAAGAGAGUCUGAGGAUCUACUAAAUGGCGGGAGUAUGCCUGCACAUCAGCAAAUGCUUGCUGUAUGCCAAAAAUCAAGGAAGCUUCCCAACGGUAUGGAAAUCACAUAUCAAACAGAUGGCAAGCUCUUCAACCUCAGAAUGUCGAAAGCCAAAAGGAUGGACCUUGAGACUUCAAGACAUUUCAUAUCCCAGCUCUCAGAAGCCCCAGAUAACAUUGUAAGAGAUUCUGGAAGCUGUAGUGCAAACAGUUUGAAGGGUAAAGGUCCUAGCUGUCAGUGGAGUUUACUGGCCCAAGAACUUGGAUUGGAUUCUUCCUUAACUUGUACUGUAAUUAUAGCAAAAGCCUUUGUCUUUUCAGCAAAGCACUGAGACAUAUUUUGGUGAGUUUUUUUAUUGCUCUGGCUCCUUCAGUUCUUUCUGUUGCUUUUACUUUAAUUGAAUAUAUGUCUGUCUCCUCAUUGGAUCCUUAUUGCUUCUAAAUUGUAUUGGUAUGAAAUUAUGAACUUCUUCAGGGAGGCUUGAGCCUUGGAAAGUGAAAUAUAAAUAUCUAGAUUUUAAAAUGACUCCGCUCCUCUC
rnacentral:lncRNA from 11 species